rnacentral:rRNA from 1 species
UACGAAGGGGGCUAGCGUUGCUCGGAAUCACUGGGCGUAAAGGGCGCGUAGGCGGCCAUUCAAGUCGGGGGUGAAAGCCUGUGGCUCAACCACAGAAUUGCCUUCGAUACUGUUUGGCUUGAGUAUGGUAGAGGUUGGUGGAACUGCGAAGUGUAGAGGUGAAAUUCGUAGAUAUUCGCAAAGAACACCCGGUGGCGAAGGCGGCCAACUGGACCAUUACUGGACGCUGAAGGCGCGAAAAGCGUGGGGAGCAAACAGG